UGCCAGCAGCCGCGGUAAAACGUAGGUGGCAAGCGUUGUCCGGAAUUACUGGGUGUAAAGGGAGCGCAGGCGGUUACUUAAGUUGGGUGUAUAAUCUACGGGCUCAACCCGUAUUCGCAUUCAAAACUGAGUAACUUGAGUUAAGUAGAGGUAGGCGGAAUUUCCGGUGUAGCGGUGGAAUGCGUAGAUAUCGGAAGGAACACCAGUGGCGAAGGCGGCCUACUGGGCUUAGACUGACGCUGAGGCUCGAAAGCAUGGGUAGCAAACAGGAUUAGAUA
rnacentral:rRNA from 1 species